rnacentral:rRNA from 1 species
GUCGAACGAGAAGUCACCUCGGGUGAUGGAAAGUGGCGGACGGGUGNGUAAAAUGUAGAGAAUCUGCCCUAGAGAGGGGGACAACAGAGGGAAACUUCUGCUAAUACCCCAUAUGCGCGUAGCUGAGAUGCUAUUCGUGAAAACUCCGGUGCUCUAGGAUGAGUCUGCAUCUGAUUAGCUAGUUGGGGGUGUAAAUGGACCACCAAGGCGACGAUCAGUAGCUGGUUUGAGAGGAUGAUCAGCCACAAUGGGACUGAGACACGGCCCAUACUCCUACGGGAGGCAGCAGUAGGGAAUUUUGCGCAAUGGGCGAAAGCCUGACGCAGCAACGCCGCGUGAUUGAAGAAGCCCUUCGGGGUGUAAAGAUCUGUCAGUGGGGACGAAACUUGACGGUACCCACAGAGGAAGCAUCGGCUAACUCCGUG